rnacentral:lncRNA from 7 species
CCAAGGAGCACCGUGGCGGAGCCCCAACGUCAGCGAGCAAUUACCAUUGCUCCGAUUGUUUCCCCCGCUAGAUAAUGCUAAGGUCACGUCCACUAGGACAGGCGAAUACCACUGGCUACACAAUGGAUGCCGAUCGAUGGCAGGGGCGUGUUAUGGUGAUGGCGACUCGAAAAAUCCACCUCGACGUUUGUUCGCUGGGUAUGGUGAGGGAGAGCACAACCCUAGGUUUUAUACCCGUUGAGUACCCGCAUGGCCCGGGAGGUAGUUGGAUUCGUAGUUGAGGAUCCUAAUAAACCCUGAACUAAAC